CUAAAAAGAAUAAAAAGGAGCAGAAAAAGAAAGAAGCUCCCGAAAAGAAAAUCCAAGAAAAGAGGGACGAAGUCCCCGAACCCUCACAAAAGAAGACAGUGUGGAAGGUAAAAGAAAAAAGUUGAACAAACCGCCACACUGCCCAAGGUGAUCCACCUAGAAUGGAAGCCCAAGAAGGUCCAACCAUCUCCUCCUCCCAAGACGGAUGAUCCAUCAUCAAGCAAAC
rnacentral:lncRNA from 1 species